GUGACUCACCGAGGGUGCCCACAAGCUGGUUUGCCACAAUCUCUAAGUCUGGAGUGGACAUAGUUUCCUGUUCCACCUUGGUCCUGUUAGCGGCGAGAGAACGAUCCUGGUGCAGCCUGCUAGUAGACACGGACACGAUGCUGCCAGGUUGGAUUCAGCAUCCACAGGGAGACCAGGGUGGCCUUUGAAGACAGUGUGGAGUCAGGGGAUAAUCAUGAACAUUUUCAUCCGGCUUUUCUGCGCAAGCUUGAAUCCUGUCCAGUCAGCAGGCUUAGGAAGAGUCCCUUUCAGGGUGCUCCCAUUGAGCUGGUUUCAUCCAGCGUUUGGUCUGACCCUCAGCAGCAAGCAUGUGGACCAAUUGAUACAAAUCUGAGAAAUCAGAUCAGGCCGGCAAGAGAGCAGCAAGCCUGACCAGGUCUGUGGGGACCGGCACCUGUGUGUUUGCUCACCAGCCUCAGAGCCGCUGGAGGUAGCUGCCUGCGUCCCACUUCUGAUACCAGGUAACGUUUUCCUUAAAAAUAACACUGCCAGCUAUUUUACCAACAAAAUGGGUUUA